rnacentral:rRNA from 1 species
GACGAACGCUGGCGGCGUGCUUAACACAUGCAAGUCGAACGGUGAUCUUGAGAGCUUGCUCUUGGGUGAUCAGUGGCGAACGGGUGAGUAACACGUGAGUAACCUGCCCCUGACUCUGGAAUAACUUCGGGAAACCGAAGCUAAUACCGGAUAUGACACAGAGCCGCAUGGUUUCUGUGUGGAAAGUUUUUCGGUGGGGAUGGACUCGCGGCCUAUCAGCUUGUUGGUGAGGUAAUGGCUCACCAAGGCGACGACGGGUAGCCGGCCUGAGAGGGCGACCGGCCACACUGGGACUGAGACACGGCCCAGACUCCUACGGGAGGCAGCAGUGGGGAAUAUUGCACAAUGGGCGAAAGCCUGAUGCAGCGACGCCGCGUGAGGGAUGAAGGCCUUCGGGUUGUAAACCUCUUUCAGUAGGGACGAAGCGAAAGUGACGGUACCUACAGAAGAAGGACCGGCCAACACGUG